AAAGACUUUAUUUCCUGUUUCAAAAGAGUAAUGAUGUCUCUUCUGGUCUCACAGCCUGGGCAAUUUGGACUCUGUACUUGGUCCAACUUACGGCGACGACGGAAGAAGCCACACUGAAAAUGAGAUCACAGAGUUCCUGCAAGAAAUACAAUAUGAGAGAAGAGAAGAAGUAUUUCUUUUACCUUAAUGAGAACGAUAAUGAUGAUGAAAAGGAGCAGAAAUCCUCCUAUGGAUCCUCCAAUGAUGGGACCUGUAGAUGUCGUCACUUGCAGCUUUGAAAU